CAGGAACUACAGGCCAGUUAGCUUGACAUCAAGCCAAGCUGUGUCAAGCUGCUGAAAGACCAAGGUGUUACUGAAGCCUGCAUUCUUCAAAUCCAGGUUUCUCAGUUACUGAUCCAUGAGAGGACCUUCCCUAUUAUCCCGUGACUUCUUUUAAAGUAUAAGGUAUUUGAUCAGCUCAGUAUGGCAGGAACAAGGAAGAAAGCCAGUGGCAACAGUAAGAGGAAAACUAACC